rnacentral:rRNA from 1 species
GACGAACGCUGGCGGCGUGCUUAACACAUGCAAGUCGAACGGAAAGGCCCUGCUUUUGUGGGGUGCUCGAGUGGCGAACGGGUGAGUAACACAUGAGUAACCUGCUCUUGACUUUGGGAUAACUUCAGGAAACUGGGGCUAAUACCGGAUAGGAGCUCCUGCUGCAUGGUGGGGGUUGGAAAGUUUCGGCGGUUGGGGAUGGACUCGCGGCUUAUCAGCUUGUUGGUGGGGUAGUGGCUUACCAAGGCUUUGACGGGUAGCCGGCCUGAGAGGGUGACCGGCCACAUUGGGACUGAGAUACGGCCCAGACUCCUACGGGAGGCAGCAGUGGGGAAUAUUGCACAAUGGGCGGAAGCCUGAUGCAGCAACGCCGCGUGCGGGAUGACGGCCUUCGGGUUGUAAACCGCUUUCGCCUGUGACGAAGCGUGAGUGACGGUAAUGGGUAAAGAAGCACCGGCUAACUACGUG